rnacentral:pre_miRNA from 1 species
AAAUAAUUGCACUGAAAGGGUGUAGUCAUUUGUGCAAUUAUUUAGAACAUUUAAUCAUUGUUUAAUAAUUGCACAAAAGACUACACACUUUCAGUGCAU